rnacentral:tRNA from 1 species
GUCACUGUAGCACUAUGGAUAGCGUGUUGGACUUCUAAUCCAAAGUUCGUGGGGUCAAAUCCCACCUGGGAUGACC